rnacentral:rRNA from 1 species
UACGUAGGUGACAAGCGUUGUCCGGAUUUACUGGGCGUAAAGAGCGCGCAGGCGGUCGUUCAAGUCGAGUGUGAAAGCCCCCGGCUCAACUGGGGAGGGUCACUCGAUACUGAUCGACUCGAAGGCAGGAGAGGGAAGUGGAAUUCCCGGUGUAGUGGUGAAAUGCGUAGAUAUCGGGAGGAACACCAGUGGCGAAAGCGACUUCCUGGUCCAGCAUCGACGUUCAGGCACGAAAGCGUGGGGAGCAAACAGG